AUUGAACGCUGGCGGCAUGCUUUACACAUGCAAGUCGGACGGCAGCACAGAGAAGCUUGCUUCUUGGGUGGCGAGUGGCGAACGGGUGAGUAAUAUAUCGGAACGUACCGAGUAAUGGGGGAUAACUAAUCGAAAGAUUAGCUAAUACCGCAUAUUCUCUGAGGAGGAAAGCAGGGGACCUUCGGGCCUUGCGUUAUUCGAGCGGCCGAUAUCUGAUUAGCUAGUUGGUGGGGUAAAGGCCUACCAAGGCGACGAUCAGUAGCGGGUCUGAGAGGAUGAUCCGCCACACUGGGACUGAGACACGGACCAGACUCCUACGGGAGGCAGCAGUGGGGAAUUUUGGACAAUGGGCGCAAGCCUGAUCCAGCCAUGCCGCGUGUCUGAAGAGGGCCUUCGGGUUGUAAAGGACUUUUGUCAGGGAAGAAAAGGCUGUUGCUAAUACCGACAGCUGAUGACGGUACCUGAAGAAUAAGCACCGGCUAACUACGUG
rnacentral:rRNA from 1 species